AUCAGAUCGGUGAUGUGUUGAAUAAAUUACUGCGUUAUCUUUCUGAAUAUUCGGAGUCGAUGAAUUUGAGGAUACAUGUUUAAUCAUCCUGAGAUCUGUU
rnacentral:snoRNA from 1 species